CCUCGUUCCUUACUGGUAUGUACUGGUGGGGCCUUUCUGGGUUACUGGGCCAUACUGGGCCCUUACUGGUCCAUACUGGUCCCCCCCCAGGUGGGCACGUGGGCGGCCGCCCGGCGUUUCGGGGCCCUGCACGCGGCCUGGGCCCUACUGGUGGCCGGGGCGGGCGCCUGCCUCCUGCGGGCUGGUUACUGGGGCUGCCUGCGGGUCAGCCACCCCCUGCCCCGCCACGCCUGAACACGCCUGGAACACGCCUGGGACACGCCUCGGACACGCCUGGGACACGCCUCGGACACGGGACACGCGUGGCGGACGCGUGUGGGGCGUGGGACACGCGGUGGGUGGGGUGGGGGCACGUUAAGGACGUGUUUGGGGCAUGGAACAUGUUAAGGACAUGGGAACAUGUUAAGGACAUGUGUAAGUCAUGGGACAUCCUCUGGACAUGCUUGGGGCAUGGGAACAUGUUAAGGACAUGGGAUGUGCUUCGGACGUGCUUCGGUCGUGGGAACAUGUGUCGGGCGUGGGAACAUGUUAAGGACACGCUUGGGUCAUGGAACAUGUUAAGGACAUGCUUAGGUCAUGCGAGAUCCAUUGGACACGCUUCGGUCAUGGGACAUGUUAAGGACAUGCUUAGGGCAUGCAACAUCCAUUGGACAUGUGUUGGGCAUGGGAACAUGCUUCGAUCAUGGGAACAUGUUAAGGACAUGCUUCAGUCAUGGGACAUCCAUUGGACAUGCUUUGGUCAUGGGAACAUGUGUCGGUCAUGGGAACAUGUUAAGGACAUGCUUAAGUCAUGGAACAUGUUAAGGACAUGCUUAAAUCAUGGGAUGCCCAUUGGGCACGGCUGCAUCAUGGGGGAGCCAUCGGACACGCUUUGGUCAUGGGAACAUGCUAAGGACAUGCUUAGGUCAUGGCACAGCCAUCAGACACCUUUGAGUCAUGGAACAUGUUAAGAACACGCUUACGUCAUGGGACAUCCAUUGAACACGCUUCAGUCACGGGAACAUGUUAAGAACACACUAAGGUCACGGGAACACCCUGCGGUCACGUGACACGCGUCGGGCACGGGAACACGCUAAGGACACGCUAAGGUCACGUGAUCAUGCUAAGGACACGCUAAGGUCACGUGGUCAUAUAACCGCCCCAUAACCGCCCCGUAACCACCCCGUAACCACCCCGUAAGGACCGACCGACCCCAUAUAGAAAAGAAUGACGUCAUUUAUUGCCAUUUUGGGUGGGUUUCAGACAUUUUUGGGUCAGCGUUGAACCCAACUCAAGACGCAAACCCAAUGGAAGGAUCUAACGGGGUCGUUAUGGGGCGAGUUAUGGGGUCGUUAUGGGGCGAGUUAUGGGGUCGUUAUGGGGUCGUUACGGGAUGACCUUAUAGGGUCAUUAUGGGACGAAUUUAUGGGGUCGUUUUGGGGUCGUUAUAGGACGACCUCAUAGUGUCAUUAUAGGAUGAGCUUGUAGGGUCGUUAUGGGAUGAACUUAUGGGGUCGCUAUAGGACAACCUUAUAGGGUCAUUUUGGGGUCGUUAUAGGAUGGCCUUAUAGGGUCAUAAUGGGAUGAACUUAUAGGGUCGUUACAGGAUGAAAUUAUAGGGUCAUUCUAGCACAACCUUAUAGGGUCAGGUCGGGGUCGUUAUAGGGUGACCUUAUAGGGUCUUUUUGGGGUCAUAAUGGGAUGAACUUAUGGGGUCGUUAUGGGAUGACCUUAUAGGGUCAUUAAGGGAUGGCCUUAUAGGGUCAUCAUGGGACGAAUUUAUGGGGUCAUUAUGGGACGAAUUUA
rnacentral:lncRNA from 1 species